GACAGAGGUGGCAAGCGUUGUUCGGAGUUACUGGGCGUAAAGAGUCAGUAGGUGGUCUGUCAAGUCUUUGGUGAAAGGCCGUGGCUUAACCAUGGGAAUGCCAAAGGGACUGGCAGACUGGAGGCUGGGAGAGGGAAGCGGAAUUUCUGGUGUAGCGGUGAAAUGCGUAGAUAUCAGAAGGAAGGCCGGUGGCGAAGGCGGCUUCCUGGAACAGACCUGACACUGAGAGACGGAAGCGUGGGGAGCAAACAGG
rnacentral:rRNA from 1 species